CUUAUUUGGCCCCUCAGUUAAUCUGCAAAUCCUCUGCAGGGCAGUACCUAUAUUAAUGCUCAACUGAAUAAGAGGAAGAAGGUGUUUCCACUCCAGGGACCUGGAAUUUCGGUGGGGAGAUUGCAUCACAGAAUUCUGCCAACCACAGUAAGAUUAUGAAUUUGUGUAUGUGUGUGUGUGCACAUGUGUGUGCUUUUAUUUUUUACAAUUGUUCUCACAAAUGACUUUUUGUAUCGAAAAUUUAUUAAGCAAAAUAUAUGUUUGAUAUUUUUGGUGUAUGUACAGCCUUACUAAAUGUUGACUUUUAUUGAAUGUUUUCUCUGUAUCUAUUAAAGUAAUAUUCUUUUGCUCUAUUAAAUCGUCAAUAUAGUGAAUUGCCUUUGUGGGUUUUCUGAUGUUAAUCCAUCCUUGCAUUUAUGGAACACAGUGUUUUAUUAUGUAACUAUUAUUAAAAUUAUUUAAAAUUAAAUGAAAUUUAAAUAUUCUCUUAGUGUAUCUGACUGCUAGUGAGUCUGAGUAAAGUUUCAUUUACUUUUAAACUAGUCAAGCCUCUCCUAUAAUUCACAUAUGCAUUUCCACUGCCAAAUUUUUCAUCUCUGUUUUAGAAGUGAAAUGGCCUACUGUUUUUUUCCCUUUAAUGUUCUCAUCCAGUCUUCAGUUUGGGAAUCAGAGUUAUAUUAUUCUCAUUAAACCAGUUGAGCAGUUUUUUCCCUCAAAUUUUUCUUGUUCCUUUCUUUCUUUCUUUUCUUUAUUUUUAGAGAUAGAGAGAGAAUCUCAAGCAGCUUCCAUGCUGUCAGCACAGAGCCUGACACAGGGCUCGAUCCCAUAACCCUGGGAUCAUGACCUGCUUAACUGACUGAGCCACUCAGGCGCCUUCCUUCCUUCCUUUCUUCUUUCUUUCUUUCUUUCUUUCUUUCUUUCUUUCUUUCUUUCUUCUUCCUACUGAAACAAUUUGCAUAAGAUGGAUUUUUUUUUUUUUUAGAAGAGGAAACUUCUGUCAAUGGAUGUUUAUUAAAAACUCAUUUGUGGUACUGUCUGGAAUAGAAGCUUGGGUUGGAGGUAAGAGGAGGCACGUUGACUUUGGUGGGGGGAGGGAGAUUUUAAAAAUAUUAAAAAGAAGUUAUCAAGGAGAGAUAUGUAGACCACUCUUGAGGACUUGUCUAUGAAAGGCGGCAGAAGGAAAGGUAAAGAAGGAGGGCGUAGACCCAUCUUGUCAGGUUAUUUGCCCCUCAUUUUCUUGUCAGAGGAUGGGAGACCAUGGAGAAGGUUGGAGUGCUGACAAGCAUGAUCCCACAGAGAGGAAGGGUUUGAAGAAAAGACAGAAGAGAGAUGGAAUAAUCGAAGACCAGGAGAAGACCACGUCUAGGUAGAUGCAUAGGAGGAGAGGUCCUGCGGGCAGGAGAGAGAAACAUGAUGGAGGCAGGUCUGUCGUUCUGCUGGUACCAGGGAGGAGAUCCCCCCAAAGGCCCUGCCCCUGAAACGUGAGACGAGCUCCGACGGACAAGAGAAUGGAUUGGUCCAUACGGAUGAUGAGUUAGAGGGAAUGUCGUGAAAUUCCAUGAAAUUCUACGCAAUGAUUAAAGUUUUGAAGGAAGACGGUCUGUUCCCUAUCUGAGAAUACAAAAAUAAGCAAACCCCAGAAAAUGGUAGAUAUUUGUAGGUUUUAUAAAUCCAAAAGCUAUUAUGGCUUAAAAAUGCACAGAAAGAAUGCAAAAUGAUACAGCCACUUUGGAUGACAGUUGGCAGCCUUUUCCUAAACGGGACAUAGUCUUCGCACGUGAUCAGCCAUUGCAUUCCUUGGCAUUUGAAUGAAUCAAAUGCCUUGACCCAAAUGAGUCAAAAACUCAUGUCCACACAAAGUCCGGGCAUGAAGGCUUACAGCAGCUCUAUCAUAAAUGCCCAAACUUGGAAGCAACCAAGAUGUUCCUCAGUGGGCAAAUGACAAGCAAACUGGUGUAUCUGUAUUAUGGAAUGUUCUUCAGUGAUAAAAAGAAUUGAGCCAUCAACCCCAAAAGACAUGGAAGAAACUUAAAUGCAUAUUAUUAAGUGAAAGAGGCCGAUCCAAAGACUGUACAUACCAGGUGAUUUCUAACUCUAUGACCUUCUGGCAAAGGCAAAACUACAAAGACAAUGCAAAGUUCAAUUGUUACCAGGGACCUGAGGGUGGGAGGGGUGAGUAUGAGGAUUUGGAGGCACAGAAACUACUUUGUAUGACCCCAGAACAGUGGAUACACAUCACCAUACAUUGUCAAAACCCACAGCGUGUGACCCCUGAUGUAGAUGGACUUCGGUUAAAAACAAUGUGUCUCCAUUGACUCAUCAGUUGUAAGAAAUAUACCACACUAACGAAGCUGUUAAUAAUGGGGGAAAUUGGAAGGACCAAGGGGAUAUAUGGGAACUCUAGACUUUUCACUUGAUUUCUUCUGUAAACCCAAAGCUGCUCAAAAAAAAAAAAAAAAGGUCGAUUGAUUUAAAAACAAGUUAAGUAUAAAAUUAAAAAUAUCCCCCCCCCCCGAAAUAGUAAAUAAUGUAUACAUUUUAGACCACUAUUGGGCACUGAGGAUAUUCAAGGUUGCAUUCUUGAUUCCUCAGCAUGUAUAAAGUAUCUCAGAGCUUGACCGAAAACAGCAAGGUCCCAGCAGGUGAGACAAGGCUGGGAAGGAAAAGGAAUACAGGAGGGGCAGACAGGGAACAGGACGGCUGUGUGUCUUCAUGUUUUUCAUGUAACCCGCCUGUUUGGAGUUUGCUGUCCUGUGACGUCACACUUUCUUUAAUGAUGGAGCUAGAGUCAUCCUUGUUUUUACCUCCCUGACUGCAAGAAGUUUUGUUUGUCAUCAGGCCCCCCAAAGCUACUUGUCUACAAAACCACUUGAGCGAGCUCUUGUCCUAUGAUUCCAGACUCCACCUGCUAGAGGCGGAAGAGAGGGGGAAUAAUCAAAGAUCAGGGGAAGACCACGUCUAGGUGGACACCUCAGCUCUGGUUGGAUGUCUAUGCUGGGUGUCCAUAGCUAGACAUCUAUGCAGGGCGCAUCUGUGACUUUCUAGGGUGAGCAAAGACUAGGCUAUUACUUCCAGAAAAGCUUUGCUGAAAGUUUUGGUAUGACAGAAAUUGACCCUAGCAGCUUCAGACUGGAUGCCAGAUGCACUGACUUGUAAAGCCCGAGGCCCAAGCCUGGAGAUCCGGGUGCUGUGGAGUGGUCUCCAAUACCGACCAAUUCUCUGAUUCUCCGACACCAGCUGGGUCUCCAACAAUUCAAUUCAAUCCAGACACUGAUUGCCUUGAGUGAGUAUAGUUCCCACAGGUAAGGACUCAGUCCUACAAGACUGUCCCCACUUCAGACCCCAGUUGCAAGUCCUGGGCCACCUUCUCACGCACUGGCUAUAGAUCAGGGGUUCCCAUGACCCACCGCUAGGUUUCCAUUAUUUGCCAAAACGGCCCACAGGACUCAGGGAGGCACUUAUGUUUACCAUCAUUAUAAGAGACACGAGUCAGGAACAGCCAGACAGAAGAGACACAUAGGGCAAAGUCUAGGGGAGCAGCGGGCUGCUGGGAGCUUCCGUGCCCUCUUUUGAUACACUAUUCCCCUGACUCCUCCAAGUGGUCACCAACUUGAAAGCACAUCAAAUCUUGUUCAAGGGUUUUAAUAGGGCUUAGUCUGCAGCUCCUCCUUCUUCCCAGAGGUGGGUGGGUGGGGCUAAAAGCUCCAUCCCUCUAAUCUCUCGGUCUUUCUGGGGACCAGCCCAUCUGAGGCUAUCUAGGAGCCCCAGCCCGUCACCCCAUGAGCAUACACUCAGGUGUGAUCACAAGGGGCUCAUUAGGAAUAAUGAGACACUCCCAUCACUCAGGAAAUACCAAGGGUUUUAGGAGCUCCGUGCCAGGCACCGAGGACAAAGAACAACUAUUUCCACAUUAGACCACAGGUGCCCUUCUGCUGCCUCUGCUCAUUCUACGGCCGGCCCCAUGGGGAUGAUGUGGGUGACACCCAGGUUGGGUACUGAAGCAUCCUUCGAAGCAAUUUUAUGUUUGAAAUCUUGGGAAAAGUCAUGAAGAAGGCAUCAUGGGAAGAUCAGAACUUCGUUGGAUGUCUUCAUGGUUUUUCAGUGUUGGCUCACAGCCAAACAAUUUUAGUUGGCAAUACAAAAAACUUGGAGAUCUGAUUUCUCUUUAAAAAUCAGAAGGGACUGCCGGAAUGAAACAUUGCCAUGGAUUGUCUGGAGGUGAGCAGGGUUGUCUUUUGGGGCAGAUGUGUCCUCCGCAGCUCACCAAGGUCCCCUCCACACGCACAGCCUUAUUGACACUAGGAGGCUGAUGUCAUUUACACACAGUCUCUACGACUCGAGGUUCAUCGAAAGUUCCCUAAACUGGGGAGGGUUGAAGGCAAAGGUGAGGUCAAGUUCCCGCCUUUUGCUGCACAAGGAAGUAGCUGCUAGUCCCCAAAUGUCUCGGGCUUCCCUUACCCCAUAAUGAUCCGUAUAAGGACCCUUGCAUGUGCACGGCAAAGGGACCAGCGGAAGUCGUAGGAAUCUCUUUUUCAGCACAGGCCACAGCUUCUCCCGGAUAUUUGUGCCAGUGACAAACUGGCCAGUUUACAUGCUUUUAAUGCAUCACAUUGUGCCUUCUUGCCAUCUUAGUUUUCCAUUUACUAAGACCCAUUUUCAGAGUAUUGGGCGUUCCCAAUGGAGCAGACCACGAGAGUGGCCAGAAAUACUUCUCAAUCAUGUAGAGUGCCCCUGAGCUCUGCCCAUGCCGAUGGCUGGGUAAAAGCAACCCCUAUAGUCUGAUUAUUUAGACUUUUCUCUUGUGCCCUUCCUGCCAGACGGUCUUGGAAUGUGAAACUCUUUUGUUAAUCACCCUAAAAAUACAACGUUUAAACUUUCAACAUCAACAGUGCGCACAUAGCGAUAAAAACAACAACAAAAAAAAGGUGCCUUUUCUCCAGAUGUUUCAGGCUUCACACAAAAAAAUUACAAAUUCUAAUUCCUUAGAGAAUUGGCUGUGUUGAAAUAUUUACAGAAGGGUCAAGGAGUUCCUCCUCCUGCCUGGAACGGAGAAGUAAAGCUGUGGGCAGUGGUUAAGCAAGGCCAGCCUUUCAAGCCUUGUUUAUUCUGGAAAUAACUCUGGAAACUGCCUCAUAUGGUUCCCCAGAGGCCUGGAGGUGGGCCUGUGUCAGUACAUGACGAAUGAAAACAAACCCUUCCUUUGCAGCACCGAGCAAAAUCCAUAAAAAAGGUCUUUCUUAGAACUUCCAGACAGACCUGAGGGACUAAAAAAUGAACUUGAAGGUGUAAGGAAGUCAGAGUGCAGAGCUAGACCCAAAAAAUAUUUCACCCAACUUUAUAACCCAUUUAGAGAGUGGAAAUUACAUAAACACGAAGCCCACGGAACUCCGGCGGAUUCAGGGAAUUGGAAACGCUGGUUUGUUUCUUUCAUCUAUCCCCAGCUUAGUAAUGAAGUCAUUCCCUGAGGAUUGGGUGAGUGGCUCCCUGUCUCUUCAGACUCACCCCCAGAGAGGGCAGGACGUGGUCCUGGUUCCUUCUGCCCUGUGCCUGUCCGGGGCCUGGUGGCCGGGAAGCAGCCCGUUGUUGAAUGGACAAAACGUUACGUCCUGCGGGCAUCUCGGUGGAUUUCGAACGGGUGGACAAUCGUGAAAGAUUGUGUCCCCGGGACUGCGAUUUCCCGCGGGGAUGUCCGUUUAUUCCACAGGCCCUCUGGUUCAUAAGGCGCUUAUAAAGGGGAGCCCGGUUUCCUCUAGAUUCCGGAGACGUCGUGAUGAACAUCCGACAGCCGUGUCUGCCUCCCUCUCUGCCAUUAUUCUGAGAGAUUCCCCCUCGUCUGCCCGCCUACCUCUCCCCACCCAGGGACCAGUUCUGGGACCUGGUGUAGGUUCCAGGUGACCCAAAGUACCCCAAUCAGAGUUCUUCCUCAAGAUAUUUCAAACUGGACCAGAGAGAGAGAGGAAAUCCACUUUCCUCCAUGCUCUCGGACUCAGGGUGUGGCUCUGGGUGCUGCCGGUGGCCAGGGCUCCCACGCGUGGGGGGUAGUGUGUGCAGAAGGAUGACAUUUCAGCGGCUUCAAACCCAGCCAGUCUGAUGGAUACUGGUUGCAUUGUCUCAGUAGAUGAGAGUGACGAGGCAUUCAGGGGACACGAGUCCCAUCCAGCUCUUGACUCAAAUUCUAUCCUUGCCUUUUCUGCAAUGCAUUUCUCCGGGCUCGCCCACACUGUACCUCUUCUUGCCUAAGCUAGUGUGAAUUCAGUCUGUACCACUUACAAUAAGAGGAGACUUAAAAGUACAAUAUGAACAGCCCUCGGAAAGCACUAGUGAAUUCCCCUUUGUGGUCUGAAAAACCAGAACUUCAGUGUUGGUAAGAAAUUAUUUGAAAUUUGAAAGUGCAGAUCUUCACUCUGUGUGCAGAUCUGUUCAUUUUGGUUUUGUUCUGUUUUCCAUAUUCACGUUCUUUCUCACACAGAAAAUUCUUAAAGCGUCAUAGCCAUACAAUAAGUGAUUAAGGUCAGCAUUUAUUGGGUGUUCGCGAUGUGCCAGGAAUUAACACAUGUUUAUGUUUUCAUCUUCACAGAAACCUAUGAAACUCAUAUUGUCAUUUCUCCCCACUUUAUAGAUGUGGAAACUGGGGUACAGAGAGGUUAAGCAGCUUCCCCUGGCUUACACACCCAGUAAGUGGGAGAGACAAGAUCUGAACCCAAACCUUCCAGGCUCAGAGACUGGGAUUUUAUUUUAUUUUAUUUUAUUUUAUUUUAUUUUAUUUUAUUUUAUUUUAUUUUAUUUUAUUUUAAGAGAGAGAGCCUGAGCAAGGAAGGGGCAGAGAAAGACUCCUAAGCAGGCUCUGUGCUGGUAGCACAGAGCCUGAUGUGACGCUUGAACCCACAAGCUGUGAGUUCACGACCUGAGCUGAAACCCAGAGUCGGAUGAUUAACCGACGGAGCCACCCAGGCGCCCCACAGAGACUGGGACUUUAAUCUAGAAAUAUAUCAAAGUAUUGCAAACCAGUGAUUUUUAGUUAUGACGAUCUCGUUUAAGACUAAAGUACGAAUUUUUAAUUUUUUGAAAUAAAAUUUUGUUAUUUUGCAAGGCAGUCGUAAAGUUGGAAAUGCCCUAAGAGGUAUUCUGCUGUAUGACCUGAACCUGCGUGUUAGGAGAGGUUAGCCCAGAGAGGUUUCACUUCUGCUUUCCGGUGCCCCCCGUUCCUAUCUCUGGUGUCCAUUCUGGCUGGACCGUUCUGUGGAUGCAUCUGGAAACCGACAUUGAGUCUCCCAGAAGCCAGCACGGGGUGGUGAUCUGCCCUUGAGGAAUGCACGUGCAGCAGAGGGCAUAGCACGGGGAAGCCCUGAGAGCCCAGCCUCUGCCCAGCUUUAUAUCUUGACCGCUGACGGCAUUCAAUAGACCGACGGUUAAAAUGCUCAGCUCCACUCGCUCCAUGUCCCCAAGGCACAUGGAAAGCAGGAGACGGUUGACUUAGGCUCGUUUCUAUGCCCUUCCUGGGAAGCUGGAGAAUUUGGUUGAAACUCAAACGUGUGACCCAGAGUCUUUGGCCAAGUGCUAAUUUCCUACUGUGCAUGUGAUCUCCACACCUCACCAUACAAGUGUAUAAUAAAAGAGAAUACUGUAAAGACAGCAUACCUGGCAUCCUUCUCAGGGUUAAUAUUCUUUUCCUUCAUUAUAUCUUCUACACAUUUGUCUACUUCACUCUGAACAACAAGUGUUGCUUUCUGCAAAACCUGUUUAUGUGAAAGAAAGCUGAAUGAGGAAAAUCCCUUAUAGUUGAAACACAACAGUAAGUUUUGGGGGCAUUUAGUCUUUACAAUGCAUAUAUUAAAAUGCAAAAUAAACCAAAUUUGCUUCACUACAGCUAAAAUCAUACAUACACACAUACAAACAAAUAUAAAAGAGAAGCAGCAUGAUGUAUCAGAUAAAGGCUUCUUCAACUGGAAUCAAUAGGUUCUCAACUGGUAAGUUCUUAGCAAAUGAGCUACCACCACAGUGGGUGCAUGAAGCAGAUAUAUAAGUUUUUUAAAUUACAUAACAAAAACAUGUGUACAAAAAUUUUAAUGCAGAAGNGACGGCAUUCAAUAGACCGACGGUUAAAAUGCUCAGCUCCACUCGCUCCAUGUCCCCAAGGCACAUGGAAAGCAGGAGACGGUUGACUUAGGCUCGUUUCUAUGCCCUUCCUGGGAAGCUGGAGAAUUUGGUUGAAACUCAAACGUGUGACCCAGAGUCUUUGGCCAAGUGCUAAUUUCCUACCUGUUAUUGUUUCCCUUUUGAGCAUCUAGAGAAACAACCCACGUCCUUUAUCCUUGACCAGAGGGGAAUCUGGGAAUCAGAAAUCCUGGGCCCCUCACUUCCUGUGGGGUUGUAAAACAAAAAGGUAAACACUUCACGGGUCGGGUUGGGCGGUGACAGCUCCGAACAGGGCCACGCCCCUAUUGUGGAGUGACUACUGGCUUCUUCUGGUCUUUACACAAACUCUUUCUGGGGGACAGGCCAGGCAGAAGAAAAUGUCAGCCCUGCCUCCGUGGGCCGGCCAGGCCGCCCAGCUUUGCAGCGAGAAAAUGCAGGGAGAUUUGCUCUGUGGGCGGUCUGAAGACAUUAUUUCCAAAGUUUAGGCAGAAAUGUCCGUCCCCGGGUUUCUCAGCAGAGUUUUCUUUACAGGGAUUUGUUCUAAAUGCUUCAGAAUUGCCCGCCAUGAUGCUUCAGUUUGGGAAGGGAAGGAGAGUCUGCAGCCUCGAUAAUUUAUGAAGAGUCUGGAGCUUUGGUGUCUGGCCUGUAGCCCUUGACUCUGCUCAGGAGCCUCGGUGGAACUCGGAUUUUCUUCCUUUUUAGGUUUCCCCACGGUAAGCCCUUCAGAGAACAAGGUCAUGUUGAUCUAUGGCAGUGACUCACGCCAGGCCUUGUCAUGCCCUCCACUGCAAAGACUCAAGAGCCGAUAAUAAAACCUUAUAAUAGUCCCCGAGGGAAGCCAAAGACCCCAUCAGCGUUGAGGAACACGCUAAUCAUCGAGCUGUCUCUCUUGGUCUUUACCUUUUCAUUAUCUGAUUAAACAGAUUCUAAAACUACAGGGAAGACUUCUUUGGGGUCAGUGGGAACUAUUCUUUUUUUUUUGUUCAGCAAAUGUUUGUUCAGGAACUGUUGUGUACCUGUGUGAAAUAAUAAGUAUAUAUGUGUGUCUCUGCCCUUGGCUCCAAUAUUGGGUCUUUGACUCUAGCUCCGGACACAGAGCUCCUGAAACCCAUGUAAUUUCCUGGGUGAUAAUAGUGUUUCUCAGAAGCCCAGGGUACCACCUGGACGUCCGAUUGGCCUCUGGAGUGGACAGUCCUGGGGGGACUGAGCCCUUCACCUGUGGGAUCAGAUGCUCCCUCCAGGUAGAGGGGGUCAGAAUUGAGUUAAAUGGUAGGAUGCCCAUUGGGUGCCUGCAGGAGGGUGGCAGAACUAUUUGGUGUGGGGACUUCCCCUUGCCCCACAUCUGGAGUCAGAAGUGAAGUAUUAAGAGGAGGAAAAAAGUAAUUUUUCCUGGACAACCUCUAAAUUGUGUUGAUCAUAAGGAAUACAGUGGUGGGCAGGUCAGUGUUCCUAAUCUCAUGGAAUUUGUGGGCAAACGGGCAGUUACAAUGAUCAUAGAGUAAACGCUGUGAUGGGUAAAGUCGAGGGUCAUGCAAAAACUUCUAAGGAGGGCUCCUGGCUAGACUCUGAAUCAGAAAAGGCAAAAUGGAGGGAAUGAUUCACCCAGACCAGGGAAGGCCCCCCUCUUCCAGUCCAUCUCCUGAAAGGCUGACUGACUUCUUUGAGGUGGUGAAUAAUCCCCUUUAAGCUAUGCACCUAAAAGAAAGGAACACGAUCCCUUAUUUAUUUAAUUUUUUUCUUCUAUUUUUACUAACCGCCACAAACCUACAGAAAAGCUGCGAUUACAGUCCGAAAGCCUCUUCCCUGCUUCCGCCCCCCCACCCCCACCCCCAGCCAACCUGGUGCCCAUCAAACCCAACGCUUCCUGGAAACAAGGACAUUCCCCUACGUAACUGACAAAGAUCGUCAGCAUCAGAGGACCAGCAGUCAUUCACACGCCCCUAAUCAAGUUUCACCAGUUGUCCCAGGAACGGUCUCUACGGAGAAAAGAUCCAGGUCACGGUCAACAUUGCCUUUCCUUGACCUUGGUGCUCACGCGACUCUUGUAGAGAAUAGGACAGUGUCUUAUUCUGCGUGGACUGUCCCUCCGUUGUCAUUUGUAUGACGGUUCCUCAUGAUUAGAUUUAAGCGCACAUCGGUAGAGCAGAAAUUGCUCAGAGGCGGUGGUGCGCCUCCCCCCGCACCCUCGGGUUGGUGCAGGAUUCUGACCUGUCUCAUUACCAAUCACCUGAUUAGGCUGCAUCUGCUAGACUUCUUCACCGCGAAGCUUCUCUCCUGCGCUCUGUAAUUAAUGUGUAUUUUGAGGGAGGUACUGAAAAACAUCCCCCUCCGCAUCAGACUCUCGAUUUAGGAUCGACUGAUGAGUUCCUACUUUAUCCACCGCGUAAAAAAUCUCUCACCGUCUUUUCUUGGAUGCCCAAGUUGUCCCACAGUUGGUAGCCCCUCCGGGUUGACUUCUGUGUCCUUUCCACACGUUCCCAUCACCCUCUGAGCAUCCCCAUUUUUUCUGACGCAGAUGGACGUGCCAGGUGUAACUUCUACGUUCACGUUCCCGGCGUUCACGUUCCCUGUGCUGGCCUCGGCAUCAGCGACUUCUCCCGGGAGCUUCUGGUGGCAAAUGGUAUUUAGAAACCAAGAUCUGGGCACCAGAUGUGCUCACUGCUAUUGAGCUCCUGCUGCUCCGGGGGCCUCCUCACAGACAGACAUUUGUUUUGGUAUCUAUUUUUAUUGAAAUCUUAGAGUGUAUACCAAUUCCCUCAAGCUCCAACCCCAAACCACAGGCCUCACUCUGGUGUCCUCCCUUUCCACGCGUGUAACUCCUUUCUCCAACAGCGAGAGGCCCGGCUGCUGUCAUUCCAAGGGUACUCACUUCUUUGACCGAGUCCCUGUGUGGGGUCUAUUUUGGCCACGCCCUCCCCACGUGGACUCCCUCCCCACCCUGCCCGGCUCUGCGCCCUAGCUGGGUCUGCCACACGCACGGAGGCUCGACUGCCCCAUCUGGGCUCCGAGUCCCCACAGACACCUACCUUGCCCCACUACCCUUCGUGACUUCAGGGCAGGAUUGCCCAGGAAAGGAACAGGAAGAGAAAGAAAGGGGAAGGGGAGGAGGAGGGGAAAAAGGAGAGGAAGUGCCUGAGGCACGGGAAGGAGGUCAGGAAGGGCCAAUCACAUUUCUUUAGCUUCUGUUUUCUCACCUUUGGAGCCCUGUAUUAAACACCACCAUUUCGGAACUUAGGUUUCCAUCACACAAACGCCCCCAGUGGAGCCACCUCUGCACCCCUCCCUCCACCUCUCUUUCUGUAUCGGACGAUCCAUCUAUCCUGGUCUCCGCUCUACGGUGUGCAGUUCCGGACCAGCCAGUUUGUCAGCUUUACUGAGGCGCCUUUCAUGUCAGAAAAGCAUGAGGAAUUUUCACGUCUCUCCAGAGGCGCGCAAAAGAUAGAGGCACAGGACAUCUGAUAUCUCAGAUGCAAUUUCAUGCAAUUAUGAGAUCCUAUCUCUGAGAGGGAAAAAUACAGAUAAAUGUAUCUUUUUAAACGCUUGGUCCGUUUUUAAAAAUGGAAUUAGCACCAUUAUUUAUCUUUUAUGCAGGUAGUUUGGUCAUUUAAAUAAGAACAGGUAUUUAUUCCCUCAGUAUCAUAUCAAUUUAACUCUUUUAAAGCUAAUUAAGAACGUCAGAAAGAUGCUGAAGUUCGUAUCAAAAAUUAUGAGAGGCUUUAAGUGUAAGCGUACCCCCUACAUGUAAGUGCGACGUUUCAAAAGGAAGUUUGGACCCAUAUUGUCUGGUUCCAUUAAAAUGAAUUGAUAAACAAACAGAAACAAAAAACCCUCAGAGGAAUCGGAGCCACAACACAUUCCGGUUGAAAGUUUAAUUUUAAUUUUAUCCGCUUCCCAAAUACACCAUUUUUGAAGUGUCACAUUUCAGGGAUUUUUGAAAUAGAAGCAAGAUCAGGACAGCCACAGAAAGUUCUACUAUAAACAUCCAGAUCCUUGGGUAGAUUAAAAUGUGGCAUCCCCAGAUUUUUUUAUUCUGGGCUAACUGCACGAGCACCUCAGAGAUCAAAGCUACCUAAUUCGGGUCAUCUGGUGGCAUAGUCCCAUGAGAUGCCCUUUUGCCCGUAUCACAUUGAAAUGAUGGUACCGAUAUUGUAGUGUUUUUCCCAGGUAAUAUCAAAAUGCCGUUUUUAAUAACAUCAGUAUUCUAUUUAAAACUUUUCAAAUUCGUGUAAUGGUGGACUGGAUCAAACUUAGCCUCCAUAAAGACAGGACAUCUCCCAGUGUCUGGUGUCCUGACUUAGCUGUGGGAUGGGGGCAAGAGGGUUUGGUGGGAGGUUCAGGAGGUAAGUGGUGAUGACAGCUGGGAGGUCUUGGGGUGAGGGUGUCAGGCUCGGGAGGGGGUUGGGAGGGGUAUACAGGGAAAAGGGACUGAAGAGAAAACCAGAAAUCUAAGCAAAUUGACCAUUAAAACCCAACAUAAUGGUUUUAUACCCACAAACAUACGGCUACUUUGGUACCUAAAAAAACUGUGAUAGCAAAAGGGCAUGAGAAAACUUCUGGGGAGUGACCGGUACGUUCGCUAUCCUGAUUGUGGUGAUAGUUUCAUGGGUGUACGUGUAUGUCAAAACUUUUCUAAUCGUGCACUUUUAAAAUGUGCAGUAUAUCUUAUGUUUGUUUUACUUUAUGUCUCAAUAAGGCUGUUUUCAAAAAAAAAUUAUGGCGUACAAUAAUGCUAAAACCAGUUCUGUAGUUGGUAGCUGUGUCAACCUGGUGUUGGAUUUUUUGUUUGGACUUGGAAAUGGCUUGGGCCGGUCAUUUAUUUCCACGUGCUCUCGCUAGGACAUGGGUGGCCUCAAGGAUUUUAACCGCCUUAGAUGAAUUGUUUUUGUGGGGGCUGGUAAUUAACCCACAGGGCUCCGUAGUGUGUGUUUAAAUAGUCCUCGCAUGCAUUUGUCAGGGAAGAAAAACUUUUCCUCUACCCUCUUUUGUUUUGUCCCGAGGGCCUGCAAAUUAAACUGAAAAAAAAUUUUCAAAAGACGGUUUUCUGCAAACCUGUUUUGGUGUCGCUGUCUGGUGAUAAGGGCUCUCUCGUCUUCUUGGUACGGGGGUAGAGGAGGGAUGGGAUUUGGCAAGAGUUUGGGGUGGGGGGCAGGAGACGCCUUCACAAAGGGAAAUUUAUGCCCUGCUUUUAGACAGUGGACCGGAGAGGAGAGAUCUCUCCCUGCACUUGUUGAGUCUCGGUUGCUUUCUACUCAGAAUAAUACUUAUGCCAACGAAGCGUAUGUGGGGGUGGUGUCUUCUGAUCCCCUUCCCAGGGAAAACCAGCAGCGAUUGAACAUUUUAGAAGAUGUUGUGCCUUUGCUCCCCACCCAACUGCCCAACCGUUUUACUGUCAAUUUCUUGUGGGACAAAGAGGUAUGAGGACCUGGGGUCAGUCUGCCUGGAGGACUGAGCUGACUCUCCUCUAGGGGCUGGUGUUUUGCAGUCUGAAUACCUCCUCAUUAUGUCUGCCAGCCCGCACGCACCUCCCUCUCUCUUGCCUUGGGCACCCCUCAGGUCAGCUGACUCUCCCACUUCCUCCCUCCCUGCUCUCUUAUCCUGAGAGAGGGCACUCAGAAUACCUUUUAUCUCUUUUAAAACAUCAUGCAGUAUUUUUCUUCUUUGACUUUGUUUCUGUUGGGUUUACAUGUUGUCUGGAUUUGCUGACCUUAACACAGUUCGUGAACACUGAUCCUUUAUUUUUCCAAUACGAAAUAUUCCCUUCUGCUUACUAUUGGCCAUACAACAUUCCUCUACGUAAAUAAUCCCCCUUUAGAAAACAAUUCCCAUUUUAAGUAAUCCUCACUGUCUUAAAAGACAGAGUUUGGCUCAAAAGCCUGAUGAAGCUGUGUGGCCACCAGCUGAAAUCCUAAACUGACCCCAAAAGUGGAGCUGGGUGGGGAGUAGUAUAAAAUAAAUCCUUUUCCAAGAAGCUUAGUCUCGGAGGAGAGCAUCGGCCGCACAGAAGCACGGGCCCCGCCCCCUGCCACCUUCCCCGCCGCCCCCCUCCCCCGCCGUUGUACUGGCCGCACUCGGUCCUGCACCAUCAUCUUCUGUCCUGGCCAAAACAAUGCCUGAGAGAACGAGGAUUUGUUUUAAGUUUAUUUAUUUAUUUUGAGAGAGUGAGAGAGUGCACACAAGGAUCGGAAGAGGGGUAGAGAGAGAGGGAGAGAGAGAACCCCAAGCAGGUUCCAAACUGCCAUCAAGGAGCCCGAUGUGGGGCUCGAACUCACAAACUGUGAGAUCAUGACCUGAGCCGAAGUCGGACGCUUAAUCCACCGAGCCACCCAGGCGCCCCAAGAAUGAGGAUUUUUACAGUUUUCCUAUAAAAAAAAGUUCUGUGUCUCAAUUAUAUAGUUUAAAAUGUCAAUUUUGAAGGCACCUUUUAAAAAGUGCAUAUGUAUGUCUGAAACCCUGUCCUCCAAACAUCAUUUUUUUUUUUUAACGUUUAUUCAUUUUUGGGACAGAGAGAGACAGAGCAUGAACGGGGGAGGGGCAGAGAGAGGGAGACACAGAAUCGGAAACAGGCUCCAGGCUCUGAGCCAUCAGCCCAGAGCCCGACGUGGGGCUCGAACUCACGGACCGCAAGAUCGUGACCUGGCUGAAGUCGGACGCUUAACCGACUGCGCCACCCAGGCGCCCCUCCAAACAUCAUUUUAAAAAGACCCAACAACCUCUCAAAUAUAAACAAACAUUAAAAAAUUAAAAAAAAAAAAAAAAACAACAACCAACAGCUCCCACACAACUCAGGAUCCCAAGGUCGCGGAUUCUCUCCCCUUGUGGGUAAGCACACCAGGACCUGCUCACACACGUUAAAAUGUCUCACUCUGGGCUAAAAGUAAUAGUCAGACUUCAUUGGUUCUCUUUCUUCUUCUGGGUGUGAGCGUGUUAAUCGGGCUCCUGUCACCUCUAGACCUUCCUCCCUGUUUUUAGCCCACAUGCUCUGGGAGCAUUGAAGGAUUGUCCUGUCUUCCUUCCUUCCCCUUAUCUCACCUUGGGGCAGUUGUGUAAUUUUGCCUGGUGCUCAGUGGGGGCGGGGGUUUCUUGAGGGAGUCCUGAGGAUCUUUGCAUUUCCUCAACUGGCUCUUGCCUCCCCCUUUGCUUCUCGAACACACACAAAUGUGGCAUCGCAGACACGUAGGGCAUCUAGGGCAGUGGCCCUCCCUGUGCCCCCCUCCCAGCCUUCCCAACCCUUCCCAUGCCCCAUGCUGUUCAUGCAUAUCCUACAAAACCCAACCUUUGUUUGUUUUUAAGCACUCCUUUACAGCCAGUCCUAGAACAUUAUUUUACCCAUAAGUACUUCACUUUGUACCUAUAACAGAUGGAGACUUUCUCCCUUUUCUUUCUUUAAAAAAAUUUUUUUUUUCAUUUUAUUUAUCUUACAGAGCAUGUGCAUGUGUGAUCAGAGGAAGGGCAGAGAGAGAGGGAGAGAAAAAUCCCAAGCAGGCUCCACACUCAGAGCAGAGCCCGACGCAGGGCUCGAUCCCACAACUCUGGAUCAUGUCCCGGGCUGAAAUCAAGAGUUGGAUGCUCAACCCGCUGAGCCACCCAGGUGCCCUGGGACUUUCUCUUUUUUUCUAAGGGCAACGCCAUUAUCAACCUAACACAGUUCACAAAAAUCCUUCCAUAAUGACUGCUUGGGUCACCAUGGACUUGGGCCAAGCAUCUGGGGAUUGGCUCAGGGCCGCAGCUGGUCAGCAGAGCUGGUGGUCAGGGAGAAGGGCUGGGUGGGGACACACGGGAAGGAGGACAAGCUGGAACUCAUCAACCCCUCUGUGUCUGUCUGUCCUACCAUAACAGUCUUGGGAGAGUAACUGCUGUCUGCCCCCAUCCCAAUUCCUACGGGUAUUCCUCUCCUGGCUGCUGCUAGCUUAGAGUGACCCCGGGAAAGGGGUUUCGGGGAAUCUAGCUCCAGCUUAGCCAAGACGACAAGAUCACCAUGAUCAUGUGAUUCCAGCGCACGCUCAAAUAUCCCCCCAGUGCCUUGAUGAUGGGUUUGUACAGCUGGUUCGUUCAAACCGGGGUCCUGAAAAGAUCCACAUGCUACAUUUGACUGUUACUUCUCUUGAAUCUCUUUUAAUUUUUAAGUGUCCCUUCCUUCUCUCUCUUUCUCUUUUUAAUGACAUUUAUUUACUUCCAUGACAAAUAAACCCGGUUGUUGGUGGGUAGAAAUUCCCCACAUUCUGCAUCUGGCCCUUUCUAUCUUCCUGGUGUAAUGGAAAUUCCCUCCAGAGACUGGAGACGAUUCCCGGCUUUGCUGUUGUUGCUUGUUUGUUUCGUUUUGGCAAGAACACCUGAGGGUCCUUAGCUCUUAACUCCCUCCCAGCUGCUGCUGAACCGAGGUCCCCACUUCUUAGGCUGAUGGGGUUGGGAGGGAGUCAGAGAACAGCCUUUGGGCUAAGCCACCCUCACCUCACCUUUCUUAAUCACCGACGUGAAUGUUUCAGGCAGGAAAACUGGAUGAAUUCCACUGCUGCAACUCCUUCCACCCCCUGGCCUCACGCCAAGGGCUAGUCUGUGUCUCUCUCAGCAAUAUUUAGUUUGCUGUUUCUUCUUUCAGCUUACCGAGUAUUGUAAGCACGGUAACACCAAGCUCACGUUUGACAACAGCUGUAGUAUGUCAGUUGGAUAAACGACUAAUCGGAAGAAGCCAUACACCCCCCUCGCUGUAAGAUUAAAUUCCCUAUUUAUUUAGGCAAGGGUACUGAAACUCAUAGCAGUAGGAAGAGGCCUAUAGGAAACAGAUGCAACGCAUCUCAGUGCAGCCCCCCCCUGGACCAGCGCUGGCCACGCCCCUGGCUUCCCCACCAGGGCUGAUCAUCACCAUCCACGAGUAUUGCUAUGCCCUUGAACUUUUAUAUUCUGCAUUUACGAUCACAAUUCAACAAGAGGAAUUUGCUCGAGCAAUCAAUGGCUUUCGUUCAAGAGAACGUUUACCAGCAUUGGGUUCUCCUGUUUCUUGAACCAAACUCAGCUUCAGCAAGGGCAGUUCCUUAGGGGGGAGAGAAAUGGAAAAUCUGGGCUAUCCCUACUGUUCUGGAAGGUCAAUGUCCCUGCAAUUGUCCCUCCAACUCUGCGUCAGUAUCCAUUAAUAUGAAUGUUUUACCUAGAGUGCUGUGAACACCAUCAGCCCCCCGGAAGAUGAUUGUGUUAAUCCUUUGAAGUUUUUCAUCGAAAAGAAAACCUGUAAAACACUGUUGUAAAGAACUCGUGGAUCCUUGAGAAUGCAUCUGUGGGCCAGAGUUCCACCAAGUCUGAGAAACUAGUCUGCACCUAACUCAUGUGUUUUGACCAGAGAACAUACAUUUGAGAUACAACAAGGUCCUGCCCAGGAGGCUGGUUUGGAGCAGAUGGGGUGAGCUCCUGUGACAGACACGAGGAUUCUCAGGUAGAGUCUAGGUUAAGCAAAAGGGACUAUAUUGGAAGGGUUUCGGGAGCUCCUAGAAGGGAUGUGAGGUUGAGGCACUCAUGGGGUUUGGAAGUGGAAAUAAUCUGGCUCCGGAGAGCCUCUUCCACACCCCCCCAGUGGGAGGAGCAUGCUGGGAUUUUCAUUCCAUCAGAUUUGCCCAAAGGGGAGGAGCUAAUCCCAUAAAAGGAAAUUCAGGUGCUAUCAGCCUGGGAGAAUGGUCACAGGACAGCUGAAACCCAACACCCACCCCCAGUCUCUUUAUGUAAAGGAAGAGGAACUUCCUCCCGCUAACGAAUUUACAGUUUCUCAUUUAGAAAGUAAAUAGGCCCAAAACCUCAAACCUAGAGGAAUCCGUUUCGUAAAAUCUAGCUCCGUGAACAAUACUGUGGAAAGCCAGAAGGAAAGUUAUCGGCCUGGGGUAUUUGUGUUACGUUUCUCAAUUUACCACAUUCCAAGAGCAGGAUUGAUAGUCAUUUGUAGGGAAUGUUUGGGAGAACACCCCGGGUCAGGGAAAUGUGGUCAUUUGCGUUUUGAAACACAGAGCCGAAUGUUUCUACAGCUGCCGACUUACCAG
rnacentral:lncRNA from 1 species